rnacentral:pre_miRNA from 1 species
UCUUAUGGAUGAACAAAGGAAGUGGUUUCUUGAGAUAGAAUCUACUCCUGGUGUAGAAGUUGUGAA